rnacentral:rRNA from 1 species
UACAGAGGUCUCAAGCGUUGUUCGGAUUCAUUGGGCGUAAAGGGUGCGUAGGCGGCUCUUUAAGUCAGUGGUGAAAUACUGCAGCUCAACUGUAGGAUUGCCAUUGAUACUGAAGAGCUUGAGUACAGAUGAGGUAGGCGGAAUUUAUGGUGUAGCGGUGAAAUGCAUAGAUACCAUAAAGAACACCUAUUGCGAAGGCAGCUUACUAAGCUGUAACUGACGCUGAGGCACGAAAGCGUGGGGAGCGAACAGG